UACGCCUCACUUUAAUUCAAUAUUAAUAAUGUCAAAAAUUUUUAACAAUUGAAUGGAAACUCCUAUUUAUACUAAACCUAAAAAUUAGGUAAAAAUCGUGUAAAAGUCGAUCAUAAUCCCCAAAAUAUGGAAAAAAAUCAAAAUUUAACAAAAUAUGGAAAAAUACCAAAAAUAGGAAAUUUGCCAAAAAAUGGUCUAUGCGGCCACAUGGUGUAUUUUCAUACCGUCGCAUGGUUCAACAAAAAUGCCGUCUUAAGUUUCGGUAUGCCUCCAUGCGAUCGCAUGGUAUUUUAGCUGUGCGGUCGUACAGACUUGUUUUCAGCCUCCGAUUUCGUCACUUGAUAACAAAUUGAUCCAAGUUGAUUCCGCGUUCGAUCCGAACAUAAAAGUUGCUCCAUUUUGAGUCUCAAACAUGAUUCCAUCAAUGGUUUCUUGAACGAGCAAUCACGUCGCUUGUUUCACUUGCUUUGCUCUUAAUCGCGUCAUUGAUCCGCCAUCGACUAUCAAUGAGUCUCGUCUCGCACUUGCCUUUGUCGGACUCGACUCCUGGAUCAUAUCAUCCCCUCCCUCUUCAAAAUGAUUUAUCUUCGAAUCUGAACCUGCAUCAAACAGAGAGAGAUCGGAUACAUUAAAAGUAGCUGAAACAUUGUACUCACCUGGAAGGUCCAACUUGUAAACAUUGUCGUUUAUCUUUUUAAUCACUUGAAAUGGACCAUCGCCCCUCGGUUGCAACUUGGACUUCCUUUACUCCGAAAAUCACUCCUUCCUAAAGUGCACCCAAACCCAAUCUCCUAACUCGAAUGUCACGUGCUUCAUACCUUUGUUCGCAUGCGAUGCAACCAACUUACUUUUGUUUUCAAUUUGCGCUUUUACCUUUUCAUGGAGUGACUUAACCAAUUUCGCCUUCUUUUUGCCAUCUAAACUACCACGUUCAUUCACAGACAAAGGAAUUAAAUCCAAAGAAGUUAAUGGAUUAAAACCAUAUACAAUUUCAAAUGGAGAAUAUGACGUAGUAGAGUGAACAGCUCGAUUGUAUGCAAAUUCAACAAAUGGUAGACACUCCUCCCGACUCUUCAAAUUUUUAUUGAUUAUUGUGUGUAACAAUUGUGUCAUAGUUCUAUUCACUACCUCAGUUUGCCCAUCCAUUUGUGGGUGACAAGUUGUGGAAAAUAAUAACUUAGUGCCUAACUUACCCCACAAGACUCUCCAAAAGUGACUCAAAAAUUUGACAUCCCGAUCCGACACUAUGCUUCUAGGAACCCCAUGUAAACGCACAAUCUCUUUAAAAAAUAAGUCAGCAAUGUUCGUGGUAUCGUCAUUUUGUGACAUGGUAUAAAAUGUGCCAUUUUGUUGAACCUGUCUACAACCACAAAAAUAGAAUCCCGACCUCUCUUAGUCCUAAGUAAACCCAAAACAAAGUCCAUCGAGAUAUCAACCCAAGGCCCACUAGGUGUAGGUAAAGGUGUGUACAAACCUUGUGGUAAAACCUUAGAUUUAGCCUUUUUACAACCCACGCAUCGACUACAAAUUCGCUCAACAUCACUUUUCAUCUUAGGCCAAUAAAAAUACUCCUUCAAUAUAUCUAAAGUCUUUUGAAUCCCAAAGUGUCCCAUCAAUCCAUCACUAUGUGCCUCCCUUACUAACAACUCCCGAAUAAAACAAUUAGGAACACAUAACCUAUUUUCCCGAAAUAAAUACCCCUCAUGCCUAAAGAACCUAUCAACCGCCCCUUUUAUGCAUGAAAAAUAAAUAUCCAAAAAUUCAACAUCUUUUUCAUACAAUCCCUUAAUAUGUUCAAACCCAGGUAACUUAGAAUCAAGAGUAAUUAGCAAUACGUACCUUCGCGACAACGCAUCCGCCACCACAUUUUCCUUACCUUGCUUAUACCGAAUGACGUAUGGAAAGGUCUCAAUGAAUUCCAUCCACCGUGCCUGCCUCUUGUUCAAUUUACCUUGUCUCCGCAAGUGUUUUAGUGACUCAUGAUCGGUGUGUAUUACGAACUCCUUCAACCAUAGAUAAUGUUGCCAAGUCUCCAAAGCUCGAACAAGUGCAUAAAGUUCUUUGUCAUAUGUAAGAUAAUUUAAAGCAGCUCCACUCAAUUUCUCGCUAAAGUAUGCAAUAGGCCUCCGAUCUGCAUUAAAACUACUCCAAACCCUAUUCCUGAUGCAUCACACUCAAUCUCGAAUAUUUUAUCAAAGUUAGGUAAUGCCAAAACAGGUGCUUCACACAAUCUACCUUUAAUAGUAUUAAAUGCAAGUUCAUGUUCAUCACCCCAAUGAAAACAUACACUCUUUUUAACUACUUCCGUGAGUGGUGCGGUGAUAGUGCUAAAAUCUUUCACAAAUCGCCUAUAAAAACUACUCAAACCAUGAAAACUCCUAACUUCCGUUAUACUUUUAGGUGUCGGCCAAUCUCUAAUAGUUUUUAUCUUUUCAUUGUCUACUUCUACCCCAUUAGCACUAACCACAAAACCAAGAAAAAUAACUCUAUCCAUACAGAACAUGCAUUUCUUAAGAUUAGCAUAGAAUUGUUCUUUCCUUAAAACAAUUAACACACACUUUAAAUGUUCCAAAUGCUCUCCUAGGUCUUUGCUAUAGAUUAAGAUGUCGUCAAAAUAAAUCACAACAAAUUUUCCUAUAAAAGCACGCAAAACAUGAUUCAUUAAACGCAUAAAUGUGAUAGGUGCAUUUGUGAGUCCAAACGGCAUAACCAACCAUUCAUAUAAACCAUAUUUAGUUUUAAAAGGCAUUUUCCAUUAAUCACCCUCCCGCAUACGAAUUUGAUGAUACCCGUUUUUUAAAUCAAUUUUAGAAAAUAUGCAAGCACCAUGUAAUUCAUCAAGCAUGUCAUCUAACCUAGGUAUAGGGUGACGAUAUUUUACCGUUAUAUUGUUGAUAGCCCUACAAUCCACGCACAUUCGUCAUGUUCCGUCCUUUUUUGGCACAAGCAAAAUCGGUACCGCACAAGGACUCAUGCUUUCCCUCACAUAUCAUUUGCUCAUUAACUCCUCCACUUGCCUUUGAAGCUCCUUAAUCUCUUCGGGAUUACUUCGAUAAGCCGGUCGAUUUGGAAUGACAGCUCCGGGUAUGAAGUCAAUUUGAUGUUCAAUGCCUCGAAUAGGCGAUAAUCCACUUGGUGCAUCCUCCGAAAAUACAUCGUCGAAUUCCUGCAGACUUAACCAAACUAGAGACGGAUGGAUUAGUUUCCUCAAAAUUGAUUCCUUAUAAACAAAAAAAAUCAUCUCUUUUCUCUUAACUACCGCCCUCCUCAAAUCACUCUCUUUUGUAAAGAAAUUCGCUAGUGUUUUCUCUCUUCUCUCGGGGAACUCUCUUUCUUUUCUCUUUUGUGAUUGCUCUCUCUUUUUCUCUCCAAUGGCUAUCUCAACAUUUUCUCUCUUUUUCUCCAACUCACUAUUUGCUUUCAUUUUUUCUAAUUCUUUUGCUCUCCUCUCUUCCUCACUUCUCAAUUUUAAUUGGUCCUCAUAGACUUGCGCCCGUGUUAAUGGCAUAAAAGUAAUGGUCCUUCCAUCCUUAAUGAAACUAUAUCGAUUUUUGUACCCAUCAUGCGUAGCCUUCCUAUCGUAUUGUCAUGGUCGCCCCAAUAAAAUAUGUCCCGCUUGUAUUGACACCACAUCAUACACUAACUCGUCCUUAUAACUCCCAAUUGACAAAUUAAGUAACACCCUUCAAUUCACCCUCACCUCGCCACUCUCAUUCAACCAUUGCAAUUUAUAAGGUUUCAGGUGUCUCAACAAUGUUAAACCCAAUUUUUUUACAAGAGAUACGUUGGCUACAUUAGUGCAACUACCACCAUCAAUUAUAACACUACAUACCGUAUUGUUGACGUGGCAUCGAGUGUGGAAAAUGUUCUCUCGUUGCAACUCCAAGUCAUCCGCUUUGACGUGAGUAGUAAGAGCUUGCCUUGUGACUAGUAAAUCCCCAACCGGCCCUUCAACUUUUUCUUCUUCACUAACACCCUCCAAUGCUAGCAUGCCAUCAAACGCACCAUCACUAUCAUUCACAAUCUCUCCAUUAUCCCAUAACACCAUCGCCUGUUUGUUUGGGCAUUGAGAAGCAAUAUGCCCCGUUUCCAAACACCUAAAACAUUUGAUGUCCCGAUUGCGCGAUGGUUGUGCCUCCGGUUUUGAUAUUGGUUUGCUAGCAUUUUCAUCUGUCCUUUAGCCAAUCAUUCUUACCUCUAGGUACAGCCCCGUUUUUGUUGUUGUCACCCCACUUCGAUUUCCAUGUUGGAUUAGGAGUCGAAGCAUCUAACGGUUGCCUAGACGUCCCCUUCCUCUUCAAUUGCCUCUCGACCUUCAUUGCCGCAUGUAACAUGUCCUCGAUUUCCACAUAGUGUUGCAACUCUACAACAUUUGCAAUAUCCCGAUUUAAUCCAUUCAAGAACCGUGCCAUGGUAGCUUCCCGAUCUUCCUCCACAUUAGCCCGAAUCAUAAGAAUUUCCAUCUCCUUGUGAUAAUCCUCCACGCUUUUCGAUCCUUGGUACAAACCUUGCAAUUUUUGAUGGAUUUUCCCAUAAUUGUGACUCAGAACAAACCUCAUCCUCAUCAACGUCUUCAACUCAUCCCAAGUGCUAAUUGGCCUUUCCCGACCCCUACACCGUGAUGUAAGUAUUUGAUCCUACCAAGAUAUCGCGUAAUCCACAAAUUCAAGCACCGCCAAUUUUACCUUUUUCUCCUCCGAAUAAUUAUAGCACUCAAAAAUCAUCUCAACAUUCCUUUUCCACUCUAAAUAUGCUUCCGGACCGCUUCUCCCUUUAAAUUGCGGAAUAGUCAUUUUAAUACUCCCCAAAUUUCCGUCUACUUCAUCCCCCGAGUUAUUCCUACCUCGUCUUUCCAUCCUAUUGCCCCUAUGCCUCACUCGACCCAUAUCAAAGUCAUUUUCAUCAAAAUCAUCCUCAUCACUACGAUACUCAUCCCGCCUUCCUCUCCUAGAUUCACGCUUACCCGGCCCCCUAGUAUUAGACAUCUCCACUUGUCCGAUUAGCAAUUGCAGUACCCAUUUGCGCCAUCCAUUCCCUUUGCCUAUCCACCUUCUCCCUAACAUUACCAAGUACCCUUUCAAACCUCCUUAUCAUGUCCUCCGAUGCAUUGUUGUCAUUACCGUUUCGGCUUGAAUUAGAACCUUCUCUUUCGGACAUCAUAUCACACAAUUUUUUUAUGCCUCACAAAUAUUUUACUCGGAAAACACUCACUAUGACUUUUUCCCUCUAUUAAACUCACAACUCCACCUUUUACCACUCAAAGUCUCCCUCCAAGCACUUCAAAGAACCAAGUUAACUAAAUCAAUUAUUUUACCGGGAAUUCAAACAAACCGAAUAUUAAUAGAAGACCACGAGACUCAAAGGACUUGAAUAAGUGGAAUAGAUGAAUGUUUUGACACAAAUAUGUGAAUAGACUCUAAAAAAAAGAUUGAAAGAAUCGAAUCCAGUUGAAUAUCCCAAAAUCAAACACAAUGUAGGAAUUGUUGUUGGUAGAAAAACAAAAUCAAACAAUAUUAAUAUCAAUUUUUUCUCCCUUUUUUUCUUUUUUUCUUUUUUUACUCUUUGAUGAAAGAAGAUGAGUAAAAUACUAACAACUCAACAAAACGACGAAACAAAAACAAGAACGAAGAAGAACUAAGAAAGAACAAUUAACGACCCAAACAAAUAAAAAAAAGAUAUAACCUUUAAUUAAUUUGGAGCUAAACCUCUGAUACCAACUGAUGUGAACCCCGUAGCAACAUUGACUACGAAACCCACAACGAGAUUGACGAACCCAAAAAAAUCAAAUUAAUCCAAGAGUUUAGGAUUAACCCAAAAGAAAGUCGAACAAAAAAAUCCAACAAGAACGACACUUGAAAGACCCCUUGAUCACACAAUCCAAAAAUUAAAUCCGAUUGUUUGAAUGCCACAAGUUAGCGCUUGAUAAGUUUGAAAUUGUUCAAUGAAGAACGAUGAAGAGAAGACAAUACGCCUCACUUUAAUUCAAUAUUAAUAAUGUCAAAAGUUUUUAACAAUUGAAUGGAAACUCCUAUUUAUACUAAACCUAAAAACUAAGUAAAAAUUGUGCAAAAGUCGAUCAUAAUCCCCAAAAUAUGGAAAAAAAUCAAAAUCUAACAAAAUAUGAAAAAAUACCAAAAAUAGGAAAUUCGCCAAAAAAAGGCCUAUGUGGUAGCAUGGUGUAUUUUUAUGCGGUCGCAUGGUUCAACAAAAAUGCCAUCUUGAGUUUCGGUAUACCUCCAUGCGGUCACAUGGUGUUUUAGCUAUGCGAUCGCACAUGCUUGUUUUCAGCCUCCGGUUUCGUCAAUUGAUAACAAAUUGAUCCAAGUUGAUUCGACUUUCGAUUCGAACAUGAAAGUUGCUCCAUUUUGAAUCCCGAACAUGGUUCCAUCAAUGGUUUAUUGAACGAGCAAUCCCAUCGCUUGUUUUACUUGCUUUGUCCUUGAUCGCGUCAUUGGUCCGCUAUCGACUAUCAACGGAUCUCGUCUCGCACUUGCUUUCGUCGGACUCGACUUCUGGAUCAUAUCAUUACCUAUAAAAAAUACUUAAGUAGACCCACAAGGAAUUA
rnacentral:lncRNA from 1 species